UCCAAGAUGCCCAGCUGCCUCCCUGCCAGGCUCCCCGUCAGGCUGGUGCACAUCAUUCGCUCAUCCCCAGCCUUUCAUUUUGGCUGCCUCCAGCCCUCAUUCUCCUGCCCUUCACUCCGCACCAGAUGCUAGAGUCACCCUCCCAUAUGGCCCUGAGAUUCUUCUGCUUCUAUGUCAUCUCUGCUUCCUCUCCCUCCACCUGGCCCCAAACAUGGCAUGUCCCACCUCUGUCCUCGCCCCAUUCACACCUGCACUCUGGGAGUAAGUCCAUGGCCAAGGUUCCCACUACAGAGGUGACUGUUAUCAGCCACUUCCCACAUCCCUACCUCCCGUCCAUGGCUUGCUAGCCUCCAGCUGCCCACCCAGAUGUCUUGCCACCACCACCCUGACAUCACACCCAAACCACACUCGCUUUCCCACAUUGUCAUUCCCCAAUCGCUUUUCUUUCAAUUUCCCUGCCUUUGCCUGGGACAGCCCCAUUCUGCUGCACCAGUGUCAAGACCCUGCCCACGUAAGUGGCUUUUGCUUUUCAGAUCUUUCCCUCUGACACUCAUUCCUUUCCCCUCAGCCCAGGUCCUGUCCAGCACUGAUGAAGUCCUGCUCAUCUGGAAACAGCUCUCGCAUUUGUCCUUUCUGUUCUGUGCCUUCCUCCACUGCCCAUAUGCAGUUCUCACCUGGCUCUUGGAUUCUGGUUUCAACACCCUGGACAGACAGCCUCCCUCUGCCCUCCCUGACGCCUGCACAGCCCCGAUCUCUCUGAAACACUAUCUGUGCUCAACACCUCCACAGGUUUUCUAGUUUCACCAGCCACAUCACAUAUGGGUUCUUUCAGACCCACUGAACUCACUCUUCCUUAUUUUCCACUGCAAAUCAAAGCCCAUGUCCCCCUACCCCCUUGCUAUGCCUCGUGCUUGCCUGGCCCGCUCCUAUCACCCCCAGACUGGCUGCUGCUCCUGUCCUUGCUGAAGCACCCUCUCCACCCCAACCUCAGCCUGUCGCCGCCCAGGCCACCUUCGGGGCCAGAUUGGAUGACCGGGGAAGCCUCCAGAUCACUUUCCUUAUCUCCAAGCUUGCUGCCUCUGGUCCAUCCUCCCCACUGCAAGCAAGCAACUGCUUUUCCUAAAAUACGCCAGACCAUGUCGCCUUCUAAGCCUUCUGACGCUGCGGAGAUCAGCCCACGCCCACAGCCUGGCCUGGAGGUUUCCAUGACCUGACUCCUCCCUGACCUUCCACCUGCUGUCCCAGCAGCACUGAAAUGAAAUCCACACUCCACUCCAGAUAGAGCAGAACACAGAGGCCCCCAUGCUUCCUGGGGUCUUUCUUGCUGUUGUGCACAAGCUCCUCAGCUGGCCUCACCCUCCUUCUCUGCUGCUCCUCACCCUCCUUCAGGGUCUCCCUUUUCCCAGGAGGAGGUCCAAUUCUGGCUGCUGGCAUCCCCUCCCCACUCGCUGGAACCCCACAUCAGUGGCCUGUUAACUGUGUUUGAGGAGAGGCCACCUUGGGGACUGGAGCUGCGUCUUGUCCAGUGCCACAGCCCAGAGCCUUAUGCUGGAGAAGCUGACACAUUAGUGAAGGGCAGUGUUCUCUGUGGGUCUGUCUGGUCUCUCCAAGCAGCAGGAAACACGACCACCAAAGGCCAACUCUCAGUAAAUAGUUACUGGUGACAGAAAUAGGAAUUAAAAGACAAUGUGGGAUGACUGGGAGAGACUGCUACAAACCGUUUGGCUUCAUGAGAGGCCCUCCUACAUUUACAACCACCUCUGGGGCUGAGGGCCAGGAGGGGUGGGCAGGGGGCCGCUGGGGAACAAUUCUGAGCCCACUCAUCACAGGGCAACUAGAAGCUUCCCCCAGGGAGCCCCAGCAGCUCUUUCUGCACGCCUUGCUGGCUAUGGCCAGCUAAGAAGCACCUGUCUGCAGAAAGCUUCCCCUCCUCAGCACAUUGGCUCCGAAUAUGGAAUGGCAAAAAUAUUUUCUCCCCUAAAUCCCGUGGAUUUGGUGGAAUGUCCAGACUGGCCUGGGCCAGAGCAAGGAAGCUGUGGCAAGCUGUAAAAUGGUAAUUCCCCUCGAGAAGUGAGAGGCGCAGCCCCAAAAAUGGAAGAAGGAGGUAUCCUGAUCUCAGAUCUUCCUCCACUUGUGAGGACAGAGUAGACAGACUGCAGCAUUUUCCCUGUGCAUCAGAGUCUGCAAUCACCCCGAUGAAGUGCAAGCCGAAGAGAAUCAAGAUUGCUGUUAUGUGUUUUUGGUCAUCAAAGCUGCACUAUCUCUGCUUGGGGGCUUUUGUGACGAGGUCCUCUUUCAAGGAGGUGGCCACUUCUAUACCACUGGCUCUGGACAAACAUCAUCAAGCCCAUCUCUCUGCUCACUAGGGUCCUGCCCAGACAACAUCCCCCUUCUCCUCUCCUUUCCAGCUAGGAUCUAGCUGCUCUGGGAUUGUCACUCUCCCUUGCUCUGGAACUCCCCCUCAAGAGCUUAGGAUGCCUCCUGAGGGGCCUCCAGCCUCUGUGAACACCAUUCUCUAUGCCAGAGAUCCUCGAAUGGUACCCUUAACUUCAUGACAUCUUCCUACUCAAAAACCCGCCAGGACUCUCCAUUACCAGUAAGAUAAAGCCCAAACUCCUGUGCCGGCAUUAACGCCCUCUAAGUCUUAUCACAGACCACAUUCCCUGUCUCAUGCCUACCCCAGCUACUCACUGUGUCUGA